rnacentral:rRNA from 1 species
CCUACGGGGGGCAGCAGUGGGGAAUAUUGCACAAUGGGCGCAAGCCUGAUGCAGCCAUGCCGCGUGUGUGAAGAAGGCCUUCGGGUUGUAAAGCACUCUCAGCGGGGAGGAAGGCGUUAAGGUUAAUAACCUUGGCGAUUGACGUUACCCGCGGAAGAAGCACCGGCUAACUCCGUGCCAGCAGCCGCGGUAAUACGGAGGGUGCAAGCGUUAAUCGGAAUUACUGGGCGUAAAGCGCACGCAGGCGGUCUGUCAAGUCGGAUGUGAAAUCCCCGGGCUCAACCUGGGAACUGCAUUCGAAACUGGCAGGCUAGAGUCUUGUAGAGGGGGGUAGAAUUCCAGGUGUAGCGGUGAAAUGCGUAGAGAUCUGGAGGACUACCGGUGGCGAAGGCGGCCCCCUGGACAAAGACUGACGCUCAGGUGCGAAAGCGUGGGGAGCAAACAGGAUUAGAUACCCCUGUAGUC